UCUUUCUCUCCCUCCCUGUUCCUCCCCUUCCUCGUCGCGGUUCUCCUCCCCCAGUUCUCUUCUUCCGCUCCGGCCUCCUCUCUCCCUCGCUUUCUCCUCCCACUCCGACUCUCUCCUGCCCUUCUUUUUCCCGUUCCCCUCUGCUUGCCGGGAUCGGAAUUCUGCCCCGACCUGCUUGUCCCGGGAGCCGCGGCGGCUCCCUGCCGGAGCUUCCAGGACCGCGGGACCUGCGGGGCCAUCUUUAUCUACGAGAGAUAGAAAUCCUCACACAUUUUAUGAAGACGAGCGUGUGUCCUUGAGGCAUGAUGUAAGAGAGUUGGAGGGUGGGGUUGCUGAUGAAUCUCUGAACAAGGUUAUGGCUUUGCUUUCUUGCCUCAGUUACUGUGUUCCUCCUGGAUAUGGACCGACUAGAAGGCAGUUGACUGGUAGUUGAGCUGGCCAUGUAUACAUCAGUUGCCUACAUGGUAGCUCAGGUGACAGGGAGGGGGUACACUUGCAGUGGGGAAGUACCAAGCUGUAUCAUGUAUGGCAAGAGUGUGGUUUGUCUCACAUGGGUUUGUAUGCUCCAAGUUUGGCUCCUAGCGGGGUGAUGCUGAGAAGUAGUUGGACCUUUAAAAUUUUAAGGCAUAGUAGAAGGUGGUUGUUAGGGCUUAUAUCUAAAUGUACCGCCCCCAAAGGCUCAUAGGUGGGGUUUGGAGAAAUGGUUGGAUCAUGCGGGUGUGAUACUUAUCAGGGGAUUAGUCUACUGGUGAGUUCAUAGUGAAAGGUGAUUAGGAAGAUGAAGUCUGGUUGGAGGAUGCAGGUUGCUGGAGCUGUAGCCUGGAAGAAUAUACCAGCCUCACACUUCCCUUGAUCUCUCCGUUUUGCAGCCUUGCCAUGAGCAAGGCUCAUCUUCCAUGCCCCUCUGCCACGCCACCCUGUUUGGAGCCAGCCAACUGUGGGCUGAAACCUCUACAAACUGUGAACCAAAAUAAACCUUUCCUG
rnacentral:lncRNA from 1 species